GAUGAACGCUGGCGGCGUGCCUAACACAUGCAAGUCGAACGAGAAGUUAACCGCUGAUUCCUUCGGGAUGAGGAGGUUAGCAGAAAGUGGCGAACGGGUGAGUAACGCGUGGGUAAUCUACCCUGUAAGUGGGGGAUAACCCUCCGAAAGGAGGGCUAAUACCGCAUAAUAUCUUCACUUCUAAAAGAAGAGAAGAUUAAAGAUGGCCUCUGUCUUAAGCUAUCACUUCAGGAUGAGCCUGCGUCCUAUUAGUUAGUUGGUGGGGUAAUGGCCUACCAAGACCACAAUGGGUAGCCGGUCUGAGAGGAUGUACGGCCACACUGGGACUGAGAUACGGCCCAGACUCCUACGGGAGGCAGCAGUGGGGAAUAUUGCGCAAUGGGGGAAACCCUGACGCAGCGACGCCGCGUGGAUGAUGAAGGCCUUUGGGUUGUAAAAUCCUGUUUUGGGGGAAGAAACCUUAAGGGUCCAAUAAACCCUUGAAUUGACGGUACCCCAAGAGAA
rnacentral:rRNA from 1 species